rnacentral:rRNA from 1 species
UACAGAGACUGCAAGCGUUGUCCGGAAUCAUUGGGCGUAAAGAGCGUGUAGGCGGUCCGGUAAGUCGGCUGUGAAAGUCCAGGGCUCAACCCUGGGAUGCCGGUCGAUACUGCCGGACUAGAGUUCGGAAGAGGCGAGUGGAAUUCCCGGUGUAGCGGUGAAAUGCGCAGAUAUCGGGAGGAACACCUAUGGCGAAGGCAGCUCGCUGGGACGUUACUGACGCUGAGACGCGAAAGCGUGGGGAGCAAACGGG